rfam:Candidatus Andersenbacteria bacterium RIFCSPHIGHO2_12_FTLL_45_11b rifcsphigho2_12_scaffold_24942, whole genome shotgun sequence.
CGCGGUGUCUCAAGCGAAGGGGAAACACCUGUUCCCAUUCCGAACACAGCAGUUAAGCUCUUCAGCGUCGAUGGUAGUGAGAAUUAAUACUCUCGCAAGAGUAGACCGAUGCCGCGU